GAGUAAAAAGUCGUAACAAGGUUUUCGUAGGUGACCUGCGGAAGGAUCAUUAUUGAAAUUUUUUGGGGAAUACUGUUGCUGGCUUCCUAGCAUGUGCACGUAUUUUCUUAAAUCUAUUCAUCCACCUGUGCACCUUUUGUAGAAUGUCUCAUUUCAGAUUGGUUUUUGCAAGUGUCUCUAGGGACCUUGUGAAUAUUGAUUUUGGAUAGAGCUUCUAUGUUUUUACAAACAAGUUAAGCAUGUCUAGAAUGUCGUUUUAUAGGGACUUGAUUGACCCUUUAAACUUUGUACAACUUUCAGCAACGGAUCUCUUGGCUCUCCCAUCGAUGAAGAACGCAGCGAAAUGCGAUAAGUAAUGUGAAUUGCAGAAUUCAGUGAAUCAUCGAAUCUUUGAACGCACCUUGCGCCCUCUGGUAUUCCGGAGGGCAUGCCUGUUUGAGUGUCAUUAAAUUCUCAACUUCAUUAGUUUUUAUAACCAAUUGAAGCUUGGAUGUGGGGGUUUGCUGGCGUCUUUAGAUGUUUUUGGCUCCCCUUAAAUGCAUUAGUAGGAACCCGUUUGUUGGCGUCCAUAGUGUGAUAAUUAUCUACACUUUGGUCAGUUCAACAGGCUCUAAUGAAGUUAUACCGUAUAUCUUCAGAACACUAACGUGUUUCUGGCGUGGGUUUUGCACUUUCGUGCUUUUCCUGUUUAUUGGGGUUUUGCACCUAGUGCUUUACCUGGGUAUGGGGUUUUGCAUAUUUUAAUUAAUACGCUUUACCUGUUUUUCAUUAGAGUAGGAAAUCUGCUCUCUAACCGUCCGCGUUUAGUGGACAAUAUUUGACAACUUGACCUCAAAUCAGGUAGGACUACCCGCUGAACUUAAGCAUAUCAAUAAGCGGAGGAA
rnacentral:sRNA from 1 species